rnacentral:rRNA from 1 species
UGGGGAAUUUUGGACAAUGGGCGCAAGCCUGAUCCAGCCAUUCCGCGUGCAGGAUGAAGGCCCUCGGGUUGUAAACUGCUUUUGUACGGAACGAAAAGGCCUGGGUUAAUACCUCGGGCUCAUGACGGUACCGUAAGAAUAAGCACCGGCUAACUACGUGCCAGCAGCCGCGGUAAUACGUAGGGUGCAAGCGUUAAUCGGAAUUACUGGGCGUAAAGCGUGCGCAGGCGGUGAUGUAAGACAGGUGUGAAAUCCCCGGGCUUAACCUGGGAACUGCAUUUGUGACUGCAUUGCUGGAGUGCGGCAGAGGGGGAUGGAAUUCCGCGUGUAGCAGUGAAAUGCGUAGAUAUGCGGAGGAACACCGAUGGCGAAGGCAAUCCCCUGGGCCUGCACUGACGCUCAUGCACGAAAGCGUGGGGAGCAAACA